UGAUGCUUCACACAUGCAGAGGGCACCAACAUUCCUCUGUCAAAGUUCUGAUUCACAAAGUAAAUUUUUACCAUUUUGAAGAUGUCAGUAGCUAUAGGAGUUUACAUAAGGGACCAACAAAAUCAGACUUUAAAAAAAAUAUUUCUGGUGCAUAAAUAAUAAGGGGGGGGGACAAAACAAGAGCUAACAGAAUCAAGAGAUAUCAGGGAUUCGUAGAGUUGCAUGUUGAAAGGAAAUGGCCCUACUGUGAGCUUAUUUAUGAAUACUUCAAUAUAUUGGAAGAAAUGGCAGCAAUUUGGGGGUUGGUAACAUAAUUUGACAGGAAAACAGCUUCAGUUUUCUACAUCUACCACAAGCCCCAAAUCAGCCUGACCGUUUCCAGGGCACAUCUCCUUGGCUUGGCAACAACGGUAGCAAUAACAACAGGUAAUAACGAAUGAUCAUACAUAUUGAACUGUGUUAACAUAUCAGUAGACGUUAGAGCAUUACUUUGCCAUUCUAUGUGACAAAUGUGUGUAUUAACAGGGCUCUUCAACACUCAAGUAGUCUUGACUCAAUACUCAAUAGUAAGGCAAUUUCUAAAUCUCAGUAUAUUGACAUUUUGGGCCAGAGAAUUCAUUGCUGCGGGGACUGUCCUGUGCAUUGUAGGAUGUUUAGCAGCAUCCCUGGCCUUACCCAUUAGAUGCCAGUAGCACUCCCACAGUGGUGACAACCAAAAAUGUCUCCAGACAUUGCCAAAUGUCCCUGAAGUGUCUUCCUGCUCUAAAGGAGUGACUCUAGUGGUGAGAAGUUAGAAACAUUGGCAUACUAAACUGAAGAUACUUUUGAGUGGACAGGACUUUUACUGUAUCUAAUUAGUUGAGGUAGGUAGUUCUUCACUUUGCUUAUAAAUCAAACCAACUCUGCCCCAAUUCCAGGUAACAGCUAUUGAUUGAGUACCUAUUGUAGACAGGAAACAUAACUUGCAUAGUCAGUAUACCUAGAGAUUAAGCACUUGGCUCUGGUGUCAGGCGCCUGGGUUGGAAUUCUGGCUCUAUUUGUUUGCGGUCUGACCUGGGAUAAUUUCCUUUACCUCUCUGCCAUUGUUUCUUCAUCUGUAAAAUAAAAUGACAUAGUGUAUGUGAAAUUACAUAGAAGUGUUUGAGAAUUCAAUGAAUCAAUGCACACAAGGCGCUUUGAACUGAGCCUAGGGUGUGGAAAACAGUAGAUAUUUACUGCUAUUCUUAAUCAUUACAACAGCUCUGAAACUUAGGUAACAUUAUCUAUGCUUUAUGCACUUGGAAGGGAAUAUUCAGAGAAAUCACGUGCAAAAUCACACAGCUGCUAAGUCACUUGGCUGGCAAGAAGAGAAGUCACGAAUCAAACUCUAAGACGACUGUUUCUCCCUACAGCCAGGCCCGAGUGGAAGACAGGCUAAACCCAGGUUAAACCUGGGAGGAAGAGUUCUCUUUCAGGGAUAAAAACUGGAACUUGUCCCCUUGGCUUGUUGCGUUCGCAGCGAGUAAUGGAAAGACUCACUGAACAGGAGCCGGAAAAACCGCUUUACCGCUGACCAGCUGUGAGAACUUGGGCGAGUCUCUCGAACAUCCUGAAGCUGUUUACUCAUCUGCAAAAUGGACGCAAAAACACCUGCUCUGCGUUCUUCACGGGCGGUGGUCAGAGUGAUGUGAGAAAAAGCAUGCAGCAGAGCACUGGAAAACUAUAACGUGCCCAACCAAUGUUGAGGUUGGGAAGGUAACGCUCUCGGCAGGUUUGUGCUGGCGGGGAGGCACGCCUACGACCUCUCCUUUCCUGGGCCGUGUCCAGCAGCUCCACCAAAGCGUGUACUGCUGGGGCCCCGCCGGGGGCGCCCGGCCUGGGCUGCAGCAUAGGAACCGGGAGGCCCCGGGGGUGCGCAGCGGGCAGAGGUUGGGCCUUCUCCCGCCUCGUCCAGGGUGAGCAAUCUGGGAGGUGACCCCAACAUGGAUGCAGCAGCUGCUGCUUAUCUGUAGUUAGUCAGCGACCCAGACAGAUGAGGUGUCCGUGGCGACCUUCCUGCCUCACCCUAACCUUGGAGGAGGCACGAGAGAUCGAGAGAUCGUCUAGGCACCGCCACUGAGGGGGCGGAGGAAAAAACGCCGGAGCUCUGGGGGAUCAGGUCAGGGAAAUUUUGAGCAUUUUUCUAGGCUGGGAGAAGGAUCCAUCCAGUGGCUAGAGAUUGAAGACAGGAAGAGAAAGAAGGACUGAGUCUGCUCUCAAGAGGCCUCAUUCCCAUGGGAGAUGGAAAGACAAUGGUCCUGCUGGGUUGAUGGACUGAAGAAAGAACAAGGCUUCACUUUACCUUCCCAGCUUCCUUAUCGGCUUCCCAGGAAUGACGCACAUUCUCUGUCUCAUCCUCCUCAAAAGGAGAAGCCCUUUUUCAUAUAGAAGAAGAAAAAAGAUAAAUUACUGAUUUUUAUUUAACUAUUUCUAUCAAAAUUAAAUAUGCACAUAGUUUAAAGAAUCGAAUGGUUCUACAUUACUAAAUAGCAGCCCCCUGCCCCCACGCCAUUUCUCACUCCUCAGAGGAGAUCACUUCCAAUGCUCUAACUAAUCCUUUUUGUUCUUUUGGAAUCACUGUAUCUCUAAACAGCGACUUCCUAAUUUUAUCUAAUCCCUUUCUACUGUGGAAAAUGGGGAUUUAGCUUUCACCCCUUCCGUUACCACACACAUACAUUUCCUGGGCUUAUAUACCUAUAUCAUUAUUAGAUUAAUACUCAGUGUUUACAUUAUUUUGACCAAAUAAAUACUAUUGACACCUGUUUUGUAUAAU
ensembl:lncRNA